rnacentral:sRNA from 1 species
GUUUCAGAGAGAAAACGGAAACUGAGGUUAAGGAAGGUGACCAGCUUAUCAUGAUCACAUGGCCAGAAAAUGGUAGAGGCAGGAUUCAAACUCAAAUUUCAUGGUGCAUUCACAGGCAAUACUGUAGUUUAAUUCUGUUCACUAAAUGUAGAGUAUGUCUCGUGUUACAGAGUGCUUUUGUCUUAGUGAGAAAGGAAAAUCAUUUUAACCUGCACACUUAACCUCUUGGCUUUUUGUCCAUUUACCCAUCUAGGACUCAAGCACAGAGGGUUCGGAAGCCGCGUUGCUGCACGGGGCCCCAGGGGCUGCUUCCCCGAUAUUCUGAGAGCCAGGCGGAAGGACAGGAGCAGCUCUUCAAACUCACAGACAACAUACAGGACGAAUUCUUCAUCGCUGUGGAGAACAUUGACAGCUACUGCGUGCUCAUCUCCUCCAAAGCU